rnacentral:lncRNA from 1 species
AGUAGAAAACGAAAUCCACUUUUUUCAUUGAAUCUACAAUGUUUAGAAUACGUGAUCUACGUAAAUAGGAGUAUUCUAAAAAUAUUUAGAAUACACAUUCCGCGCUUAACGUAUCGUUCUAAAAUCUUUAGAAAUCAAAAUCUACACAUUAAUAUAAAUCUAAAACACGUAGAACCAACUUCUACAGAUUUACUAUAAAUCUAAAACAUGUAGAAAUCAAAAUCUAAACAUUACUAUAAUUCUAAAAAACUGUAGAAACCGAUUUCUACAUAUUAGUUAUAUUCUACGGAUAAGAAAUCAGUUCCUAAAAAUAUGGAAACAAAAUAUUUGGGAAUAUUCACUUUUAUAUUUUGAAAAAAAAAUCGAUUUUAAAAAAAAAAAUAAAAAAACGAAAAAGAAACAAAAAAAUAAAAAAAAAAAUAAAAAAUUACAAUUUUAAGGGCAUUACUGUCAUUUUGAAAAAAAAUAGUCUAAUGAGACAUAAAGUAGUAUAGAUUAGUAUAAAGGGACAUAGUUACCAUUUUUUUGCUCUAAAAAAACAAUUUUCCCAAAUAACUUUAGGGGUUUUUGCCAAAACUAACCCACAACUUGAUUUUAAUCCCAAACCUAUACCCAAACUUGAAUCAAAUGCAAAACUAACCUAAAAGCCUAGUGAAAUUACAGCUCAGCCCCUUGUGACCAAACAAAAAAACAGAAGCCAUUUUUACGAAUAUAGCCCCAGUAAAUCGUCUGAGUCGUCUGAAUUGUUGGAAGUCGU